GCUUGGGAACAUGCCUUGAGGUGGGGGACAACAGUUGGAAACGACUGCUAAUACCGCAUAAUGUCUACGGACCAAAGGGGGCUUCGGCUCUCGCCUUUAGAUUGGCCCAAGUGGGAUUAGCUAGUUGGUGAGGUAAUGGCUCACCAAGGCGACGAUCCCUAGCUGGUUUGAGAGGAUGAUCAGCCACACUGGGACUGAGACACGGCCCAGACUCCUACGGGAGGCAGCAGUGGGGAAUAUUGCACAAUGGGCGCAAGCCUGAUGCAGCCAUGCCGCGUGUGUGAAGAAGGCCUUCGGGUUGUAAAGCACUUUCAGUCAGGAGGAAAGGGUGGUGGUUAAUACCCGUCAUGUGUGACGUUACUGACAGAAGAAGCACCGGCUAACUCCGUGCCAGCAGCCGCGGUAAUACGGAGGGUGCGAGCGUUAAUCGGAAUUACUGGGCGUAAAGCGUACGCAGGCGGUUUGUUAAGCGAGAUGUGAAAGCCCCGGGCUCAACCUGGGGAACUGCAUUUCGAACUGGCAAACUAGAGUGUGAUAGAGGGGUGGGUA
rnacentral:rRNA from 1 species